rnacentral:misc_RNA from 1 species
GAUGAAGAACGUAGCGAAAUGCGAUAAGUAAUGUGAAUUGCAGAAUUCAGUGAAUCAUCGAAUCUUUGAACGCACAUUGCGCCCACCAGUAUUCUGGCGGGCAUGCCUGUCUGAGCGUCAUUUCAACCCUCAUGCCCCUAGGGCGUGGUGUUGGGGAUCGGCCAAAGCCCGCGAGGGACGGCCGGCCCCUAAAUCUAGUGGCGGACCCGUCGUGGCCUCCUCUGCGAAGUAGUGAUAUUCCGCAUCGGAGAGCGAUGAGCCCCUGCCGUUAAACCCCCAACUUUCCAAGGUUGACCUCAGAUCAGGUAGGAAUACCCGCUGAACUUAAGCAUAUCAAUAAGCGGAGGA